UCCUGGUGUGCACAUUUUACGAUAGUACUUACUUCACACUUUUAGAAAGGUUGUUAUGCAGAUUUUGCUAGGCCCUCUAAGUAUCUUUCCAUUGCCUCUUUCAAGGCACCUGAGCUUCUAACAGUCACAGGUACACAGCAUGCAAGAGCGCUGAGGCAUAUGUUUGAAACUCCCUCAUCUGCAAGUACCAGAAUGGAUUUUGGAAUAAAACUCAGUUCUUUCACAGGGAGGAAGUUCAUUUGAAAAGACCUCCUGAGCUUUGGGGAGAGAGGUACUGGUUUUGCUGUUCCUGCACCAGGUCUAACUUGGCAAAGGUUUCCAGCAUAACUGCGAGGAGACUUCAGCCAGUUUGCACUUGGAUGCUGGAGACCAUGAGGAGUACAAUUCUGGAGCACCACUGGGGAAAGAAAAUCACCAGCCAACAAGUUUGGGAGUUGCACGUGUUCAUCAAAUUCCUGACAUGAUGAAAUAUCAAUAGUAAACUGUCGGCAUUUCUGAGCUAUCAACAUUUCAACUCUGCAACCACAAGCCUUUUUUAAAAAUCUAUCUAGCACAAAGGACUAUUCAUAAAGAAUUUUUGUGCUUAUGUAUUCUUAGUUCACUGACAUUGAUAUACAGUAUUUGCCAGCUAUUAGAAAAUUGUUACUUUCUUUCAACUUGGUAACACUCAUUGAAUACAAUACCAAAAAAUGUAAGAUACCAGUGUAAAAAUAGUAUGAAGCUUGACAGAGAUUUACCAUUUAUUGACAGAGUUUUAUACCAAAGGACAUUACAUGACACAUAAUUCCUAAUAACACUGUCUGGAAUAUGUCUAACAACAGUAUUGUUUCUAAAUUAGAGGUAGCUUUCUUUAUAGCUGGGGCAUAUUAUGUAGACUUAGACAUCUAAUCCCUGCUGGAAGCUAAUACAACUUAACAGAAUUCCCUGCACACUGACAAGUCCGACAGUUCCAAUUUUUCCCUUAUUUUGUGUGCUUUUAGUUUUUUUUGAGGGAAGAGAUGACGUGUUUUAAUAGACAACUCAUUAAUUAUUCCCAGUACACGAAUUCAAUUAACAUUCUCUUGUGAAAUUGUGGAAAGCAGUGAAAUAUCCUGGGGAACAGUAUUUUCAAAUAUGCCAUUACUUAAAUAGUUGGCAAAUAUC